rnacentral:rRNA from 1 species
GACGAACGCUGGCGGCGUGCUUAACACAUGCAAGUCGAACGGAAAGGCCCUGCUUUUGUGGGGUGCUCGAGUGGCGAACGGGUGAGUAACACGUGAGUAACCUGCCCUUGACUUUGGGAUAACUUCAGGAAACUGGGGCUAAUACCGGAUAGGAGCUCCUGCUGCAUGGUGGGGGUUGGAAAGUUUCGGCGGUUGGGGAUGGACUCGCGGCUUAUCAGCUUGUUGGUGGGGUAGUGGCUUACCAAGGCUUUGACGGGUAGCCGGCCUGGGAGGGUGACCGGCCACAAUGGGACUGAGAUACGGACCAGAAUCCUACGGGAGGCAGCAGGGGGGAAUAUUGCACAAUGGGCGGAAGCCUGAUGCAGCAACGCCGCGUGCGGGAAGACGGCCUUCGGGUUGUAAACCGCUUUCGCCUGUGACGAAGCGUGAGUGACGGUAAUGGGUAAAGAAGCACCGGCUAACUACGUG